UACGGAGGGAGCAAGCGUUACUCGGAAUUAUUGGGCGUAAAGGGCGCGUAGGCGAUUUGAAAAGUCUUGUGUGAAAGCCCCGGGCUUAACCCGGGAAGUGCACAAGAAACUGUUGAAUUUGAGUUCCGGAGAGGAAGGCAGAAUUCCCGGUGUAGCGGUGAAAUGCGCAGAUAUCAGGAAGAACACCAAUGGCGAAGGCAGCUCUCUGGGACGGUACUGACGCUGAGACGUGAAAGCGUGGGGAGCGAACAGG
rnacentral:rRNA from 1 species